GAGCUAGUAGCUCAGUUGGUUAGAGCACCACCAUAUAUAGGCAGAGGUCCCGGGUUCAAUCCCCGGCUGAUCCA
rnacentral:tRNA from 1 species